AUGGCUCCGCACCACCGCUGCCGCAUCCCCUCCUACCUCGCCACCGCCGCUGCCCUCCUCCUUGCCUUCCUCCUCCCGCCGCUGGCCGCUUCCCAGUGGCAGAACUGCGGCAAGAACGGCAACUUCAACCAGAACAGCACCUACCAGGCUAACAUCCAGGCCCUCUCCGUUACCCUUCCCAAGAACGCCUCCUCCUCGCGGACGCUAUUCGCGGCCGACAGCGUGGGCACCGUUCCGGACAUCGUCUACGCACUCGCGCUCUGCCGCGGCGACGCCAACGCCUCUGCCUGCGGCGCUUGCGUCUCCAACGGCUUCAAGGACGCGCAGCAGCUCUGCCCCUACAGUAAAGUCGCUGCCGUCUACUACGACCUCUGCUACCUUGGCUUCUCCAACCAGAACAUCCUCUCCGCCACCGACGGCGACAACAACGCCCUCAUGCUGGUGAACGGCCAAAACGUGACCGUGCCAGCGAAGGUGUUCGAAGCCGCCGUGGGCGUCCUCAUGAACGCCACCGCGGAUUACGCGGCCGCGGACUCCUCCAGGCGGUUCGGCACAGGGGAGGAGGGGUUCGAGACGAUAGACAAGGCGAAACCCAAGAUUUACGGUGUGGCGCAGUGCAGGCCGGAUAUGUCACCGGCAGAUUGCCGGAGCUGUCUCGCAGAUAUCAUCACGUACAUCCCUCAGUACUUAACAGGGAGGCGGGGUGCUAGGGUUGUUGGAUUGCGGUGCAACUACAGGUAUGAGCAGUAUUCCUUCUUCACCGGGCCUUCUAUGUUGCAGCUCCCGGCGCCAUCCGUGGGGGCACCUCCAUCUCCAGCGCCGGCCAACGUGACGCCACCACCAGUCGGAGGAGGUGAGCUUGGAGAAAUAACUUCAUCUUAUUUGCGUUGCACGAUUCAGUCUUUAGACCAGAAGUAA
rnacentral:rRNA from 1 species